GAGGUCAAGCAAAUCCCAUAAAGUUGUUCUCAGUUCGGAUUGUAGUCUGCAACUCGACUACAUGAAGCUGGAAUCGCUAGUAAUCGUAGAUCAGCAUGCUACGGUGAAUACGUUCCCGGGUCUUGUACACACCGCCCGUCACACCACGAGAGUUUGUAACACUCGAAGCCGGUGGAGUAACCUUUUAGGAGCUAGCCGUCGAAGGUGGGACAAAUGAUUGGGGUGAAGUCGUAACAAGGUAGCCGUAUCGGAAGGUGCGGCUGGAUCACCUCCUUU
rnacentral:rRNA from 1 species